ACCCCGAAAACGGGUUUGGUAAUCAAACCACGUUUAUAUUAAAAGACGGGUAAUUUACCUUUAGUGGUAAAAGUAACCCGGUGAAUAUUGGGAUUAUUAAACAAACAAGAAUUUACUAACUAGGAAUUUUAACCUAGUUAGCUAAUAGUCUAGAGAUAACUUAUAAUAGGGCUAGAAACAACCAAACUUUAAGUUAUUCAAGAGUGGAGGGGCUUAUCUUGUAAAAUCUGAAACUUCAUUAGAUAAAAAAAAAAUAAUUAAGGACCAAACACACAAAAGUGUGUCUGGUCGUAUAUGGGACGCAGGGGGCGACCAGGAGACCUCACCAAGCCCUAGUUCAUCACUUAAUUCACAAAAUUGAAGGUCCAAAUCUGAUCAAAGUCGAAAAUCAAGAAUAGAUUAUUGAUCCCCAUUGAAAGGGGAGUCAUAAGUUUGACUCUGACAAGCUAGGUAGGAGCUUGGAAAUGAACGGGUCAAAUGGAUACAAGUUCAAGUAUGAAGCUCGCAAGGAUGCAAGGUAAGUAUAACUUACACUAGUCAUAUAUUUUAAAAUGUUCUUUUGUCAUAUUGACUACGAAUAAGACAAAUGGUAAUUUAGUCACACGUUGACAAUAAUCGUUAGUUUUAAAAGACGCUUUCCCGCGAAAGACAUAAAGAGCCGAAAGUGGUAAUAAACGGGUUAUAAAUAAAAUGAGCAUACGGUGUUAAAAGGAGCGAGUCAUGUAGAUGAGAUAAUAAUAAAUAUUAUCUCGCAAAGAUAAACGGUCAAUUCGGCCAAACGGGUCAAAAGGUGUAGACAUCACCUUUUGACAAUAUCGACUAAUGAUUCUGGUGUCGAGUUAUAUGUUUACAGGAGUAGAUAUCCAAUGGAUACUCGCAUCGCUCUUAAUUAGCAAUUAUAAAGCAAGGUAUUAAACCGGGUUAGUAAGUUGAUCCGAGCCAGGUAUGUAUAAUAGAUUAACUCAUCAUGUAGAACUUGAAGUUCUAUGAAAGUUAGGCAAAAUAAAAAAAA